rnacentral:rRNA from 1 species
GAUCCUGGCUCAGGAUGAACGCUGGCGGCGUGCUUAACACAUGCAAGUCGAACGGGAAAUACUUUAUUGAAACUUUGGUGGAUUUAAUUUAUUUCUAGUGGCGGACGGGUGAGUAACGCGUGGGUAACCUGCCUUAUACUGGGGGAUAACAGCCAGAAAUGACUGCUAAUACCGCAUAAGCGCACAGAACCGCAUGGUUCCGUGUGAAAAACUCCGGUGGUAUAAGAUGGACCCGCGUUGGAUUAGCUAGUUGGCAGGG